rnacentral:rRNA from 1 species
CUACGGGAGGCUCCAGUGAGGAAUAUUGCACAAUGGAGGAAACUCUGAUGCAGCAACGCCGCGUGGAGGAUGACGCAUUUCGGUGUGUAAACUCCUUUUAUAUGUCAAGAAAAUGACGGUAGCAUAUGAAUAAGCACCGGCUAACUCCGUGCCAGCAGCCGCGGUAGUACGGAGGGUGCAAGCGUUACUCGGAAUCACUGGGCGUAAAGGACGCGUAGGCGGGAUAUCAAGUCAGGUGUGAAAUCCUACAGCUUAACUGUAGAACUGCACUUGAAACUUCUAAUCUAGAGUAUGGGAGGGGGAGAUGGAAUUAGUGGUGUAGGGGUAAAAUCCGUAGAUAUCACUAGGAAUACCUAAAGCGAAGGCGAUCUCCUGGAACAUUACUGACGCUAAGGCGUGAAAGCGUGGGGAGCAAACAGGAUUAGAUACCCCGGUAGUC